rnacentral:sRNA from 1 species
CACAUACUCACACAUCACAUGCCAUCAUAUGUGAUAAAAGUGACCUUACUCAUGAAAUGUUUAUUCAUUUGGCGCCAACUAAUUAAUGGACUUUCUUUGGCAGAUGCACCUGUCUUUUGCCUACUCAUUUCUUCAAAGGAAGAAACAACUUUUACUAUGAACAACAUUUCUUUCUUUUUCUUUGUAAAAGAAGACAAAGUUGUCAUUGAAGUGAAGGGGUUUAAGGUGGAUGGAUGCUUUGACAACAC